GGCUCGUUGGUCUAGGGGUAUGUUUCUCGCUUCUGGGUGCGAGAGGUCCCUGGUUCAAAUCCCAGACGAGCCC